rnacentral:rRNA from 1 species
AUUGAACGCUGGCGGCAUGCUUUACACAUGCAAGUCGAACGGUAACAGGCCGCAAGGUGCUGACGAGUGGCGAACGGGUGAGUAAUGCAUCGGAACGUGCCCAGUCGUGGGGGAUAACUACUCGAAAGAGUAGCUAAUACCGCAUACGAUCUAUGGAUGAAAGCGGGGGACCGUAAGGCCUCGCGCGAUUGGAGCGGCCGAUGUCGGAUUAGGUAGUUGGUGGGGUAAAGGCUCACCAAGCCAACGAUCUGUAGCUGGUCUGAGAGGACAACCAGCCACACUGGGACUGAGACACGGCCCAGACUCCUACGGGAGGCAGCAGUGGGGAAUUUUGGACAAUGGGCGCAAGCCUGAUCCAGCAAUGCCGCGUGCAGGAAGAAGGACUUCGGGUUGUAAACUGCUUUUGUACGGAACGAAACGGCUCUGGUUAAUACCCGGGGCUAAUGACGGUACCGUAAGAAUAAGCACCGGCUAACUACGUG